AUGGGCAAGUUCAUGAAACCUGGGAAAAUGGUGCCAGUCGUGGCCGGACACUACUCUGGACACAAAGCCAAUCCUCAUGAAGAAAACUGAUGAUGGCACCUCAGACCACACCUGCAGCCACCCUCUGGUGGCUAAAAAAGACCAUUAUUCCCACAGUGACAGCUGCCAUGGGCAAGAAGAUUGCCAAGAGGUCAAAGGUCAAGUCUUUUGUGAAGGUUUAUAACUAUAAUGACCUCAUGCCCACAGAGUACCCUGUGACCAUCCCCUUAGACAAAACCACCAGGUUUUCAGAGACCCUGCUCUUAAAUGCAAGGCCCAGUGGGAGGCCAAGAUCAAGUUCAAAGAGUGGAACAAGACUGGCAAGAACAAGUGGUUCUUCCAGAAGCUGUGGUUU
rnacentral:lncRNA from 1 species